GACGGGGGGGGCAAGUGUUCUUCGGAAUGACUGGGCGUAAAGGGCACGUAGGCGGUGAAUCGGGUUGAAAGUGAAAGUCGCCAAAAACUGGCGGAAUGCUCUCGAAACCAAUUCACUUGGGUGAGACAGAGGAGAGUGGAAUUUCGUGUGUAGGGGUGAAAUCCGCAAAUCUACGAAGGAAGGCCAAAAGCGAAGGCAGCUCUCUGGGUCCCUACUGACGCUGGGGUGCGAAAGCAUGGGGAGCGAACAGG
rnacentral:rRNA from 1 species